rnacentral:rRNA from 1 species
GGCGGCAGGCUUAACACAUGCAAGUCGAACGGGCACUUCGGUGUCAGUGGCAGACGGGUGAGUAACGCGUGGGAACAUACCUCUUGGUUCGGAACAACACAGGGAAACUUGUGCUAAUACCGGAUAAGCCCUUACGGGGAAAGAUUUAUCGCCGAGAGAUUGGCCCGCGUCUGAUUAGCUAGUUGGUAGGGUAAUGGCCUACCAAGGCGACGAUCAGUAGCUGGUCUGAGAGGAUGAUCAGCCACAUUGGGACUGAGACACGGCCCAAACUCCUACGGGAGGCAGCAGUGGGGAAUAUUGGACAAUGGGCGCAAGCCUGAUCCAGCCAUGCCGCGUGAGUGAUGAAGGCCCUAGGGUUGUAAAGCUCUUUUGUACGGGAAGAUAAUGACGGUACCGUAAGAAUAAGCCCCGGCUAACUUCGUGCCAGCAGCCGCGGUAAUACGAAGGGGGCUAGCGUUGCUCGGAAUCACUGGGCGUAAAGGGUGCGUAGGCGGGUUAUUAAGUCAGA